AUUCUUUUAGUAUAAUCAGUACCACCGACUUCCAAUCGGUCAGCCCUAGUACUAAAUCUAGGAAAGAAUA
rnacentral:tRNA from 1 species